AGAGUUUGAUCCUGGCUCAGGACGAACGCUGGCGGCGUGCUUAACACAUGCAAGUCGAGCGGAAAGGCCCUUCGGGGUACUCGAGCGGCGAACGGGUGAGUAACACGUGAGCAACCUGCCCUUGGCUUUGGGAUAACCCUCGGAAACGGGGGCUAAUACCGGAUAUGACCUUCUUCCGCAUGGUGGGGGGUGGAAAGUUUUUCGGCCAGGGAUGGGCUCGCGGCCUAUCAGCUUGUUGGUGGGGUGAUGGCCUACCAAGGCGACGACGGGUAGCCGGCCUGAGAGGGCGACCGGCCACACUGGGACUGAGACACGGCCCAGACUCCUACGGGAGGCAGCAGUGGGGAAUAUUGCACAAUGGGCGAAAGCCUGAUGCAGCGACGCCGCGUGAGGGAUGACGGCCUUCGGGUUGUAAACCUCUUUCAGCAGGGACGAAGCGCAAGUGACGGUACCUGCAGAAGAAGCGCCGGCCAACUACGUGCCAGCAGCCGCGGUAAGACGUAGGGCGCGAGCGUUGUCCGGAUUUAUUGGGCGUAAAGAGCUCGUAGGCGGCUUGUUGCGUCGACUGUGAAAACCCGCGGCUCAACCGUGUGGUCUGCAGUCGAUACGGGCAGGCUGGAGUUCGGUAGGGGAGACUGGAAUUCCUGGUGUAGCGGUGAAAUGCGCAGAUAUCAGGAGGAACACCGGUGGCGAAGGCGGGUCUCUGGGCCGAUACUGACGCUGAGGAGCGAAAGCGUGGGGAGCGAACAGGAUUAGAUACCCUGGUAGUCCACGCUGUAAACGUUGGGCGCUAGGUGUGGGGGGCCUCUCCGGUUCCCUGUGCCGCAGCUAACGCAUUAAGCGCCCCGCCUGGGGAGUACGGCCGCAAGGCUAAAACUCAAAGGAAUUGACGG
rnacentral:rRNA from 1 species